rnacentral:rRNA from 1 species
AUUGAACGCCGGCGGCAGGCUUAACACAUGCAAGUCGAGCGGAGAGAGGUAGCUUGCUACUGAUCUUAGCGGCGGACGGGUGAGUAAUGCUUAGGAAUCUGCCUAUUAGUGGGGGACAACAUUUCGAAAGGAAUGCUAAUACCGCAUACGUCCUACGGGAGAAAGCAGGGGAUCUUCGGACCUUGCGCUAAUAGAUGAGCCUAAGUCGGAUUAGCUAGUUGGUGGGGUAAAGGCCUACCAAGGCGACGAUCUGUAGCGGGUCUGAGAGGAUGAUCCGCCACACUGGGACUGAGACACGGCCCAGACUGCUACGGGAGGCAGCAGUGGGGAAUCUUGGACAAUGGGCGCAAGCCUGAUCCAGCCAUGCCGCGUGUGUGAAGAAUGCCUUAUGGUUGUAAAGCACUUUAAGCGAGGAGGAGGCUACUUUAGAUAAUACCUAGAGAUAGUGGACGUUACUCGCAGAAUAAGCAUCGGCUAACUCUGUGCCAGCCGCCGCCGUAACAC